UCCCGAAAGUUCCCCUUCCUCCUCUCUCGCAAAGAAACAGAGUCUUCCAGAACUCCAAAAUUCCUCACCGCCGGCCACUCCUUUCUCUUUCCCGGUGACCAUCCGAGUUGAAUUGGGAGAAGGUCCCUCCCCUUGUAUAGCUGUAGUUUUAAGGGUCUCACUAAAUCAGGUUUUGCUUCGAGCUUGCCGAGCAUCUCUCCUUCUAGAUCUGGCCGUGUAGGUCAUUGGAGACAGAGAGGAUAGCGGCGGUUGCUGCCAUGUCCAAGCAGCGGAGGAUUUUUGCUGGUGGUGAGCCGCUCGUUCACGGCGGCGCUGGCACCAACUACCCCGACCUAUUGUGUCCUCUCUCAACCACUAUCUCCUCUGUAAGUUAAGUUUUUCUCCUAUCAGAUCCAAGAAAUUGAUCAAUUGUUUGGGAGUAGAGAUGCGUAUCAGACCCAUGCGUGAUUGAAACCUUGGUCUCUCUAAACAUGUGAUUUGUUAAAGGUUUAUCCGCACAGUUCCUUGUGAGAUGCAGAAUUAGACUUUCACUGUACUCCAUCCCAUCAGGUUGGAACAAGAUUUUCUAUUCAGUAUAUCUAGACUAUUUUUUUUUAACUGUGACCUGCGUUAGAUCUUUGGUGCAAGGUAAGUAGAGAUCAUGAUCAAGGAUGACUAAACAUUAUUAAGCAGAGAAUUUCUCAAGUCCCACACUCAAGCAAUUUUUUUUUAAUUGAGACGCUGGCUAGGUAGUGGCUAGCGAUAGCAAUUUAACUAACCUACCACGGACGGCGCCACGGCGGGAUCAGAGGAUGCACGUAGCACCGUGCUGAUCCUCCAGCCUCAAGGCGCAGCCUGUUGUCUCGGCGCGCACACAGAGCUAAUCCGCAGGCAGAGUGCAGCAGCACAUGGCGGCACAAGCGACGCGAUGUUCAUAGUAGUUUGGCUAGCUAGAAGAUAUACAGGACAGGGAAGAGGGCAGAAAAGCUACAAUUUUUCUUUUCUGUUUUUCUGUGUUCGUGUUGUCGAUUUCCCAAAAAAAAGCUGAAUUUCAGUGGAGCAAAGGCAUGAACUGUAGACCAUAUACAUUAUUUUUAUGUACAAGAGUUAUGGACUACUUUGAUUUUUCAUCAUGUUUAAUGUUUGAGUUUGCCCCACCUAGAUUUUUAUUCUUCCUCCGCCACUGCCUACCAUGGUCGUAGACUAGACUAAGCAUGCGAAGUGGAGCCGUAGAUCACACGGCCAAAUCAGAUUUUGUGCAUUGUAUGGUCUCUUGGCAGUUUUAGAUUCCUCUUAAAAAAUAAUACCAUUGUGUUUAUGUUGAAUACUAUUUGGGUGUUGAUAUUGAUAUCAUACGACAGUGAGGCAAUUUGUAGUUACCGCUAGAGGAAUUGACUUUGAUAUCAUACAACAGUGAGGUAAAAAUGUUUUUGACACCUCAAAAUUUACCAAUGAUUUCAAUAGAUCAGUUUCGACAUAUACUACUGUUAGAAGAUGAUACAACUUUUAUUGGUGAAGUUGACAUCAAAAUUGGAGGUUACAAAUCAUUGUACAGUUCUAUAGUGUCGGUUAGUUUUGUUUGAUAGGUACAUCUUCAUCUCUUGUACAUUUUGUUUCUUUGCUCAGUAUAAAAUGUAUUGUAGGUGUUCAUUGUCUUUUUUUGCCAAAAUAUACUAUUGGCCCUCUAUAGGGUCAUUAUUUCUCCUUUGCGUAAACAUACUACAGAUCAUCAUGUAUGCAGUAGUGAUUGUAUGAUGUCGUUCUAGGUGAUAAGAUAGAUGAAGCAAGAGCUCGAGAGCUAAUAUUGUUGCUGCAGGAGACAAGGCUAUACUAUGCUUGAUGAAUGAUUCCAUGACCUGAGAGAUGCCUAAGUUAUGUAAGUCGUGCCUAAAAAAAUUCUUCUCUUCAUGGCGAGCGCUACUGCCACUUCCACAUAUUUCACAAUUUGUAAUUAUUGGUUGCGGUGCUUGCAUGCCUUGCCAUUGAGGAACCCAAUGUUGGAAGGAGACCGGCGCACCUCACAUAAAUUUCCAAUAGUAAUUUAGCUUGGUGGACAAGGCCAUUCUAUUUUUGUCUUCUGCUUUGCUUGUGUUUUGUGACGAAAGAGGAAAUUUUCUAACACGUUGAGCCCCAUCAGAUUGGAGCCAAAGAUGAAACCAGUAGUCGCUAACUCCAUUGCACAGAUUUCUUAUUGAGGCAUUGUCGUUCUUUCAUUAUUCAUAUUAAGGUUAGGUUAGAGUGAUGUGCUUAAUGAUCACCAU